ensembl:lncRNA
CGGGAGCAUACGGGCCGAUUUCUUUUUAAGACAGACAGGAACAUGGGCAGGAUGUUUAUACUGUCAAAUGUAAACAUUUUCUCUAGCCUUCUUUAAAUAAAAAAUCAAGCAAAAAGCACCACAAGAGCCGCUAAUACCCAUUCUGGGGCUAUGCGUCCGUUUUAUGCGGCGCAAACUAUUUGUGAAUCUUUGUUUUAACAUAAAUGUGGAGAUGAAGCCGUAGACAAUUCUGUCUACUUUCUUUUGAAAAAAAUGCUGCCUCGGACCUGCACUUGCUUUGAGAAACUUUGCUAUAUGAAGACGGCUAAUCGAUCUCUCUUGCUGCUCCUCAGACCUGAUCCUGCAGAGCUUGGAGGAAGUGCAGAGUCACGCAAGGAAGGAAAAGAGCUAUGACCUGCUAAAAGCCAGUGUGAGACAGAAAGAGAGCGAGGUUAUUAAAAUGCUACCUGUUAUUGUUAAUGUUCAUGUUAAUGUUCAUGUUUUUACACCAUCUACUCAACGAUAAAGAUAUUACUGCAUUAGAAGGGAACAUGUAACCGAAUAUGAAUAAAUAUAUCUCCUUCUGCAUAUCUUUUCCUCUCGACUGUGUCUGUAUUGUUCUCAUUCAUGAAUUGUUCAACAACAACAAAU